GAUGAACGCUGGCGGCGUGCUUAACACAUGCAAGUCGAACGAGAAGUGAAGACGGAAACCUUCGGGCGGAAGGCUUUAUUUCGAGUGGCGGACGGGUGAGUAACGCGUGGGUAACCAGCCUCAUACAGGGGGAUAACAGUUGGAAACGACUGUUAAUACCGCAUAAGACCACAGCACCGCAUGGUGCGGGGGUAAAAACUCCGGUGGUAUGAGAUGGACCCGCGUUCGAUUAGCCAGUUGGCGGGGUAACGGCCCACCAAAGCGACGAUCGAUAGCCGAUCUGAGAGGAUGACCGGCCACAUUGGGACUGAGACACGGCCCAAACUCCUACGGGAGGCAGCAGUGGGGAAUAUUGCACAAUGGGGGAAACCCUGAUGCAGCGACGCCGCGUGAGUGAAGAAGUAUUUCGGUAUGUAAAGCUCUAUCAGCAGGGAAGAAAAUGACGGUACCUGAGUAAGAAGCCCCGGCUAACUACGUG
rnacentral:rRNA from 1 species